GCACAGAUGAUUAAAAGUUUGUGUUUUUCACUUUUCAUUACUGUUCUAAACAAAAAUAAUGCUUAGAGGGAACGUUACUGGAAGGCCUAUCCCUGCCUCCUCUACCCUUCUGCUAAUUAUUAAAAUCUUUUUUUUUUAUUUACUAUCAAAAGGUCAGAGAUGUAGGUAAAUGUUGGCUUCACAGUUGAACUGCACACCGAGACACUCAAAUAGUUAAUCAAUGAUAUCUGUGGUGCCUUAUUGCUGAGCUUUGCCUAAUUAAAUAUUAUGUUACAUCUGCACCCUGCUACUCUAAAGCAGUGAGUCACAGAAUCAUUUCUCAAAUGAAAAGUUAAAAAGACAAUGGAGAUGUGUUUAAAUCC